CAAAGGCUUGGUCCUGGCCUUAUUAUCAGCUUAUCCUUAACUUACACAUGCAAGUAUCAGCACACCCGUGAGAACGCCCUUAUAACCUUACUAGGACAAGGAGCCGGUAUCAGGCACAGACCCAUCUAGCCCAUUACACCUAGCUUUGCCACUCCCUCAAGGGUCUUCAGCAGUGAUUAACAUUGUUUAUAAGCGACAGCUUGACUCAGUUAAAGGACACAGGGCCGGCUAAUACGGUGCCAGCCGCCGCGGCUACACCGCUAGGCUCAAGUUGAUAUUAUUCGGCGUUAAGCGUGUUUAAAGUGCUUUCCAAGAUUAGAACUAAACCCUAACCAAGCUGUGACACGCUUGCUAUCAGGAAAAACAAAUACGAAAGUUAUUCUAACCUACCCACUUGAACCCACGACAGCUAGGACACAAACUGGGAUUAGGUACCCCACUAUGCCUAGCCGUAAAAUAUUUAUUUACACCUUUAACCGCCAGGGGAUUACGAGCCCAAGCUUAAAACCCAAAGGACUUGACGGUGUCCCACCCACCUAGAGGAGCCUGUUCUAUAAUCGAUUCUCCCCGUUAUACCUCACCACUUCUAGCUUCUCAGCCUGUAUACCUCCGUCGUAAGCUUACCCUAUGAACGCCUUUUAGUGAGCAAAAAGAUUUUACAUAAAUACGUCAGGUCAAGGUGCAGCCUACGAAAUGGCAAGAAAUGGGCUACAAUUUCUAUGAGCAUAGAACACAACGAAAGACUACAUGCAACUUAGUCAUGAAGGCGGAUUUAGUAGUAAAAAGAAAAUAGAGAGUUCUUUUUAAUUAGGCGCUGGGACGCGUACACACCGCCCGUCACCCUCUUCAAACGCUUAAACUCAGUUUAUAACAAACUAAUGCACCACAGAAGAGGUAAGUCGUAACAUGGUAAGCGUACUGGAAAGUGCGCUUGGAAUAAACAAA
rnacentral:ncRNA from 1 species